GAGAGACCCAGGAGGCCUCUGGGAAGGGAAGGGAAGGUUGCUGAGGAAGGAAGUCUGCACUUGGGUCCAGCCCUGCCUCUGGCACCAGCCCCACUGGGCUAGGGUCCCAGGGAUUUAUUGACUAAUCCUCAAAUGAUACACUCUCCCUGAUUUAUUCUCUCUCCCGCUUUGCGUUCUCACAAGAUCCCAUUGUCUCCGGACACCGCUGGCCCAGGGCCUCCACCUCGGGGCCUGCAGCCUCUCAUCCACUUCCGGGGGUGGGAGGAAUGGACGCUCUCUGCCGCCAAGCACCACGACCCUCCCCUGUCCUCUCCCGGCCCCAGGGUCAAGCUGCCAGGCCACCAGGCAGUGCCAGGUACGAGGACGGCAGCACCCAGCCAAUCGGAGGAGAAGGCGCCCCUGUGUGCCCCCCGACACCUCCACUCAGCGAAACCUUCCAGCCUUCAAGUCUGUCUUGACUGCGCCCAUGGAGCCAUUCCUGAGCUUGUUCAACGGGGUCCAGGCCUCACAAGGAAAGGCACUGAGAGCUGCCCUUGCAAACCACCUGAGAAGAAGAAGAAGUCAGAGAAGGUUGGCUCCCAACUCUCAUAAGCAGGGUGGCUCUACUUUUUGUAGCAGAGUUCUGUGUUGGGUUUCAUUCGAUCUAAAGUUAAGAGGAAAAACAAAGUUUAACCCAGUGAUCAACCCUAACUUUUUAUCCUAACUUUUUUAUCCUCGUUUUAUGGAUGAGAAACCAAGAUCAGAGAGGGUAAGUAACUUGCCCAAGGUCACACAGUGAGUUCUCGUCAGGUCCAAAAGGCAGGCUUCCAUGGUUCUCUUGCCAUGUGAUGUUCCCCAGUGUGUAUGUCCAUCUUCCUAUGGGAUGGUAAGCCCCAGAGAGCAAGGGCCAGAAUGAAACAUCUCUGUCUGCAUCAUCGAGCAAGUGAGGCCUGAGUGCCAUUUCAUGGGCUUUUCAUCCCCAUGGGGGGCAGCUUUCUGAGCAGUGCAUGUCACCAGCUUGUCUCUGUGGCCCUCAGUAGGGCCUGGCUGUGGGACUGAGACAGGGUUGGGGUCAGGAAGGAGGAGCUCCGUGUGCCUUAAGAAUCCCCUCCAUUUGGAACCCUCACUGCCAAACAGAGCUCUCUGCCUCAGAAUUUCCAGCACACAAAGUACCUGCCUUUCCAGACCCAGCCAUACUCUCAGCCCUUGAAAACCCAGGGUUGGUUGGUUGGUUGCCUGGGAGGCCCUCGGCUAUUAUCUAAGGGAAGCCAAAAGAACUUCCUCUCCCCUACGAAGCAGAACACCAGCCCACCACCAGCCGCCACAGUGCCUACGAUCCCACCCCGCCAUCAAAGUGCCCCUUGGGGAUAGGGCCUUGUCUCCAGAAUGCCCAAACUCUUUCCUAGCUCAGAGGGUCACGGUAGCUCUGACUAAGGCAGGAUCCAUCACAGAAGGAGAGCGGACUCCAUAGCCACGCGUUCUUGGGUUCUAGUCCUAGCUCCGCAACUCGCUGCUGAGACAUACGGGCAAGUUGCUCAACCUCUCUCUGCUCAGGUGUGGGAGAAAUAGGAAUAAGAGGUCUGGAGUAGUGCUCGGAGGAUUAUUAAAAGGACUGAGUGAGAUAAUGUGCUAGGGCACUCAGUGCUGGUCCAUUCUCACCCUUUGACGUCUUCCUGUGAAUGAGGUUCUCAAGAAUUGGCAAAUGAGUCGUUUGGCAAAGCCCCCAGGGAGUGAGAGGUUGAGCCUGCAGAGACAGAGAACUGGGGGGUUACCCAAGGCUGGUAGUGGAGCGGGGAGCAGCCUGGUCACUAAGUGUCCCCUCCUCCAUGGGGAACUCCGAAAGUGGGAGUAAAGUCUGCCACCAAAAUCAACUUCUCCGCCUUCCCUAAUAUGCCAGGAGCUGCACUUUAGCUUGGAUUAAAAAUUCCUUCCAAAAGGCCAUGUCAUGUGAUAGCGAUGGCAACCGUUUAUAGAACUACUGCAUGCAAACUCUGCACCUUCCCCCAGUACACUGGGGAGGGGGUGGUAAUUAGGGAUUAUUAGCAUGAGCCUAUUUUACAGGCUGGCAACUGCGCACCGAGGAGCUGAGCAACCUGCUGCGGCCAGCAAUCUGCCAGCAACCCUAAAGAGCAGAGCUGGGCUUUGAACCCAGGCAGUCUGCUUGCUCUUAACCCCUUGUGCAGGGCAGCCUCCUCCCCAGCCCCUGGCCACGACAUCCAAAAGCCUCUGCGCUCAGUGGCCUGACCAGCCUUUUCCCCUGGGUUCACAUCAAGUCCACGUUCCUCACUAUUAGGCUGGGAUGUGAUUCUUCUUCCACUUCUAUGGAAAUUACCAAGGUCCGGGGCCUGAGGCUGGGGGCAUGGCGGGGUGAACGCGGCAAAUAAGACAUAAUCCCAGCCCUUGGGAGUUUUCCACUCACCCCUCGGGCCCAGGAGAAAGUACGAAUGGAGGCCCACAUUCCAUCUGUCUAAAUAUUUAAAAGUUAUAAAUCAAGUUAACAAACUGUUUUAUAAAAUAUGUUCUAUUCUCCUAGGCUGACACUUACACCUUCGGAAGAUCUGGAAGGCCGGGUUUGCAUUUAGAGUUCUCGGGCAUAGAGUUCUGUACAAGGCAGACCAGGGAGACACUGCCUCUGCGUCCCCCCCAGCCCUGCCCACCCUCAGCCUCUGCGUAAACUGGGAAGGGCUUCAGGAGCACGGGUGUGGACAGUCCCAUCUGCAUGCCCAAGCUGUCC
ensembl:lincRNA